GACGAACGCUGGCGGCGUGCCUAAUACAUGCAAGUCGAACGCAGUGGGGACGGGUGAGUAACCCGUUGGUAACCUCCCAUCAGAGGGGAUAACACUUGGACACAGGUGCUAAACCGAAAUGGAUGGAUGGACCCGCUGUGCAUUAGCUAGUUGGUGAGGUAACGGCUCACCAAGGCCACGAUCCAUAGCUGACCUGAGAGGGUGAUCGGCCACACUGGGACUGAGACACGGCCCAGACUCCUACGGGAGGCAGCAGUGGGGAAUCUUCGGCAAUGGGCGAAAGUCUGACCGAGCAACGCCGCGUGUGUGAAGAAGGUUUUCGGAUCGUAAAACUCUGUUGUUAGAGAAGCGGUAUCUAACCAGAAAGCCACGGCUAACUACGUGCCAGCAGCCGCGGUAAUUC
rnacentral:rRNA from 1 species